rnacentral:sRNA from 1 species
GCCAGGUGUGGUGGUGCACCCCUGUAAUUCCAGCAGCUUGGGAGGUUGAGGCAGGAGGACUGGGAGUUCAAAGCCAGUCUCAGCAAAAUCGAGGUGCUAAGCAACUCAGUGAGACCCUGUCUCUA